UUUGCAGUAAAAGCUAGUCAGAUGAAUAAAAGAUAAAAAAUUUCCUGGCUGUUUCCUACCCUUAGAAAUACAGCAUUUCUGAGUACUCAAAGAAAGGUCAGCAGUGCUCAUGCACCUUCAUUUGUGCUCUUCAAACAACCCCAGGGUCCAGAAAUGACAGGACAAGGCACAAAGUAAUGGCCAGUGCUGAGGACAGCUGGGACCACCUAAGGAAAAUCAGGAAUUUGAGGGCAAGGAUCACUCUUCUGUCUGUGGAGUGUUGUGUCCCACACAAACCUGAGUCAAACAGCCUCUGCUUCUCUUAAGUUCCAGAGGGUUUGAAUGACACAAGCUCUUUUGUUCCAUUCCAUUAUGAUCCUGUCAGAUUUGGAGGAGGAAAGCCAAGGGAAGAUAUUGGUUGUGCUGAGUGAAAACAUUUGUGCCACACUGCUUUGGUGCUUAGAGCUUCACUCAGGAGUGAAGCUUCACUGGAUGCUCCAAGCUCUGGAAUUUGUGAAAGGUGUGAUUCCAUGCAGUAUGGAUGGAACAUCCAUGGAUGGAACAUCCUGUUUACCUCUCCAGUUACCUUGUCCUGGAGAACUGGAGGGAACCCUGAUGCACAUCAAUCAGUGCCUGCAUUUUUGGUUUUGGAUUGGCAUUUGGAUUUUCCCCAGGAAUAAAUGGAAUAACCUUUG